rnacentral:rRNA from 1 species
UCCGGACUCCUACGGGAGGCAGCAGUGGGGGAUAUUGCACAAUGGGGGGAACCCUGAUGCAGCGACGCCGCGUGAGGGAUGAAGGUCUUCGGAUCGUAAACCUCUGUCAGCAGGGAAGAACGGUCACUGUGCUAAUCAGCAGUGAAUUGACGGUACCUGCAAAGGAAGCACCGGCUAACUCCGUGCCAGCAGCCGCGGUAAUACGGAGGAUGCGAGCGUUAUCCGGAUUUAUUGGGUUUAAAGGGUGCGUAGGCGGGUUGUUAAGUCAGCGGUAAAAGCCCGGGGCUCACCCCCGGCGAGCCGUUGAAACUGGCUGUCUUGAGAUGUCGAGAGGUAUGCGGAAUGCGCAGUGUAGCGGUGAAAUGCUUAGAUAUUGCGCAGAACUCCGAUUGCGAAGGCAGCAUACCGGCGGCGAUCUGACGCUGAGGCACGAAAGCGUGGGUAUCGAACAGGAUUAGAUACCCGCGUAG